rnacentral:precursor_RNA from 8 species
AGUCCGUCGUUCAUUGGCGCAGUGUUGUUUAGGUCGUGACGUGUACAAUGUUGUGAUUUACGCCCUAAGUCCAAUAUUGCACUCGUCCCGGCCUAGAGAACACGGCCCGAUCGUCAUACGAAUUGC